rnacentral:rRNA from 1 species
GACAGAGGGUGCAAACGUUGCUCGGAAUUACUGGGCGUAAAGCGCGUGUAGGCGGCCACCGCAAGUCGACUGUGAAAUCUCCGGGCUUAACCCGGAAAGGUCAACCGAUACUGCGGGGCUAGAGUGCAGAAGGGGCAACUGGAAUUCUCGGUGUAGCGGUGAAAUGCGUAGAUAUCGAGAGGAACACCUGCGGCGAAGGCGGGUUGCUGGGCUGACACUGACGCUGAAGUGCGAAAGCUAGGGGAGCGAACGGG